CUCCUCCUACGAACCAAAUAAGUCCCAGGAUUUACCAUCUCGGUGGUAAUGGCUUGUGCCUUUAUAGCAUGCUUCGGUGGACAAAAAUCAUAUGGGGAAUUCACUUAAGUCAGCAUUACAUUGAACUCUUCUCUUAAAUUCAACUUUUUACCAAGAGACGUGUCGAUUUAUUUUCUCUUUUUACUCUUGGAAUAAUAGCUGGUCUCAUGGUACGG
rnacentral:lncRNA from 1 species